UUGAAAUUUGGGGACUAAUAUAUCGGUCGUGCCUCGGUACGUACUGGUAUUUUUGGUUCUCCCUUCUGACGAACCUUGAUGUCAUUAAUUUGGUGUCUUGGGGAAAUCAGGACUGUUACUUUGAAAAAAUUAGAGUGUUUAAAGCAGGCUCACGCUUGAAUACAUUAGCAUGGAAUAAUGAAAUAGGACGUUUGAUUCUAUUUUGUGGUUUCUAGGAUCGACGUAAUGAUUAAUAGGGAUAGUUGGGGGCAUUAGUAUUCAAUUGUCAGAGGUGAAAUUCUUGGAUUUAUUGAAGACUAACUACUGCGAAAGCAUUUGCCAAGGAUGUUUUCAUUAAUCAAGAACGAAAGUUAGGGGAUCGAAGACGAUCAGAUACCGUCGUAGUCUUAACCAUAAACUAUGCCGACUAGGGAUCGGAUGAUGUUAAUUUUUAAUGACUC
rnacentral:rRNA from 1 species